GAGGAUCCAGCAAUACCUCUCCUGGGCAUAUAUCCAGAAGAUGCCCCAACUGGUAAGAAGGACACAUGCUCCACUAUGUUCAUAGCAGCCUUAUUUAUAAUAGCCAGAAGCUGGAAAGAACCUAGAUGCCCCUCAACAGAGGAAUUGAUACAGAAAAUGUGGUACAUCUACACAAUGGAGUACUACUCAGCUAUUAAAAAGAAUGAAUUUAUGAAAUUCCUAGCCAAAUGGAUGGACCUGGAGGGCAUCAUCCUGAGUGAGGUAACACAUUCACAAAGAAACUCACACAAUAUGUAUUCACUGAUAAGUGGAUAUUAGCCACUCUUUACUUUUCAGUGUCAGAGCUAAUAUUCAUGGACACCAUAAUGGCUGAUUAACUCAAUUCUAAUCUUGGAACUACUGAUUUAGAUAUUUGCACUCCAGAUGGGUGGUAUUCAUAGACUGUUACACAGUGAUUGCAUAGCUAUGGUGCUGGGCUAAUGAUGGACUUUGGACUGUGUAUUCCUCAGUGGGGUCUGUUCAGUACCGUUCUGGAGACACCUAAGAAACCAGCUUAGAGUCUCCUCUCUCAGUCUUCUAACAACAUUGUGAUUGCAAUACGUAAUUCCUCUGCUAACUCUUUCUUUGAUAAUUCUCUUUUAUUUAACAAAGAAGGUAAGAUCCCAGGAAGGAAAUAAUAAAUAACUUAUGCACAAACACACAGUUACCUACAGCUGUGCUACGUGGAACUGACCUGAUUUCAUCACAAACAUACAACUCACUGCCAGUGAUGUGGCAGAGAUGAAACCCUGGCAUGGUAAUUCACAACUAAGAUUUUCUUUUCAUAUGUAUAUGUGUAUGUAUGUGUGUGUAUGUGCAUAUGUGUGUAUAAUUAUUUUAUUUAUCUACAUUUCAGAUGUUGCCCCUUCCCAGUUUACCCUCUACAAACUCCUCACCUAAUCCUCCCUCCCCUUCACCUCUAAGAGAGUACUCACCUACCUACCCUCCCACUCCCACUCCCACUUCACCUUUCUAGCAUCCCCCUUCUCUGGGGUAUCAAGCCUCCACAGGACCAAGCACACUGCCUCCCACUGAGGCCAGACAAGGCAGGCCUCUAUUGGGAGCUAUUAAGACAACUCUUGAUCUCCGAAUUGGGCCUCUCCCCAGAGAAGAAAAGGGGGUCAAAAGCAGGCCACCGACACAUCAAUUCUGAGAACAACCACGGGAUGUUCCAGCCCUAAGUCAUCGCAGAUGUCCUGACCACACCCUGAUACCACCAAGUUCCUGCUUCCCCUUGUAGCUGCCAAAAGAAAGAAUUUCUAUUGCCCCACUCCCACUGAUAAGUACUUCUCCUUUUGCUUGUAUUGCCCCGCCCCUCCCGCUGAUAAGUAUCUGUACUUCCCCUUUUGCUCGUGCAUUUAAGCCUCAGACCUUUCGCAAUACAUUGGGGUCUUGAUGUAAUCCAGAACAGUUUCUGUGUCGUUAUUCGCACAAGACCCUUGUCUCUCUCUACCCCCCAUUUGGUUAUUAGAAGGUCCCCUCGAGACCCUCGAAUAACUGGACCUGCUGGACGGGUCAGGCCUCUGCUACAUUUGUAGAUUGGGCCAUGGACCAGCCCAUGUAUGUUCCUUGGUUUGUGGCUUAGUCCCUGGGAGCUCUGAGGGGUCUGGUUAGUUGAUACUGUUGUUCUUUCUAUGGGGUUGCCAUCCCCUUCAGCUGUUUCAGUCCUUCCCCUUACUCUUCCAUUAGGGUCCCUGGGUUCAGUUCAAUGUUUGGCUGUGAGUAUCUGCAUCUGUCUUAGUCAGCAGUUGGUAGAGUCUCUCAGAGGACAACCAUGCCAGACUCUUGUCUGCAAGCACAUCGAGGCAUCAGCAAUUUUCGUAUGAUAUGAGUGUGUUUCUAGGAAAAAUAGAAUUCAUUUAAGAUUUCCUGAAUAACUUAUGAAUGGUCUUUGUGUAUGUGAGUUUGUACACAAGCUUGUUGACUAUUCAUAUGUACAAGAGACUAGGAUAAAGUGCAUUUGGCUUUUAUCAAGGCAUGCUGCUGUCUAAUACCUUGAUAUGUUACAUAUUAACAAGCUUAAUCCCCCCACUAACAUCAGCUGUUCCCCUUAAUAUAAAAAUUACAUGUGUUUGUGAAACUAUUAUGUUCAUUAAUAGUUUUAUUUUGUUUCUUAAAGUUUUUAAAAGUAAUUUUAGCAUAUAAAUCAAUGGGUUUCAUUAUGGCAUUUCCACAUAAUAUUAUUAUUAUAUUAUUUUAUGCAUAUUAAGAUGCUAUUGUAUCUUAAUCAUAUUUGUAAUGCUCCUACUCCUGUUUCCUGACUUUAACCCCAGUUAUUCUUUCCUUGUGUGUGUGUAUAUGUAUGCACAUAUAACUGACAUAAAAUACAUAGCACAUAUAUUUAAUUUACCUUUCAUAUAUAAGAGAAAUUGUGUAGUAUUUUCUUUUUUGUUACCAUUACUCUCUUGCUUCUCUUUCCUCACCUUCUAGGUCCACUCCUCCGUCUUAGAGUUUCCUGUUACUUUCAUAUCACACAAAACUACAUAUUCAUGUAUAUUUAGAUUUCCAUAUAGAUCAAUAUCAGAGAGAAGAUGGCAUUUACCUUUAUUUUAUUUUAUUUGGUUUUUUGAGAUAAGGUUUCUCUGUGUAUCCCUGACUAUCCUGGAACUCACUCUGUAGACCAGGCUGGCUUCAGAAACUCAGAAAUCCACCUGCCUGUGCCUCCCAAGUGCUAGGAUUAAAAGCGUGCACCACCACUGCCCAGACACAUUUACCUUUAUAAAUGGACUAAUCAACUGGGAAUUCUGUUUUUAUAUUUUUUAAGGACUCUCCUAACUGAAUUCCAUAGUGGUUCUUCCAGUUUUCAUUGCUACCAGUUUGCAGUAUAAGGAUUCCUCUUUUGCACAUACUCACCAACACUGGUUGUUUGCUGGACAACAACCAAGCUUGCUUGAUGAUGGCUGUUCUGACUAUGAUGAAAUGGAAUCUCAAGGUUCUUUUCUGGAUUAAACUCAAAUCUCAAGUUCCACGCCUUCCAUGGUAAAAAAGGAUCUGAAAAGCUUUGCUCCGAGUCUACUCCAUGCUUCUGUUCAGCAGACAGACUGGUAACUGACGGCCAUGGUAGAGACGGCAGGCACAGCUGGCUAGGUCUCAUGGUUCAAGAAGGAGAAAAGAUAUCAAUGAUCGUAAUCAGCACUGGAUGCUUCAUAAUACCAAACUGACUUGCCAAGCAAGAUGUGAUUCUUGGGGCAAUCAUGGCAUGAUUGUUGUGGAGUUAACCAACUACUCUAGAGGAGUUCUGCUUCCAGAUGUAAACCCUGAGUGAAAUUCUGGCAUAUAUGCCCAGGAAGCCUGUGGAAAAGUAGACAAGGCAAAUGCUUUUUUUGGAAAAGACCUAAGUGCCACCAAGGGAAAAUGGAUACACUUAAUAGCUUAGUUGUACACAACAGAGUACUAUUAUUUAGUAGUAAAAAUAAAAAUCAAUUGGAGAUACGUCUGCCAAUAUGAAUAUGGACCACAAAUAUAAGGAACAUAUGAUCUGUUACUCCUGAGCUAUUGUUCCUGUGGUGAAGAGUGUUCCAAUCCUUAGAGCAUCAUUGUUUAGUGAAUGUAACUGUUCUAACCAAUUUAAUUGAAGGGUAAGAUAUAUACUUUCAAAAGUGAGAAGAUUGACUUAACCCAAAGUCUACCCUCAUGUUCACUGGUGAUGAACAAGAUGUUCUUUUCCUGAAAUGGGAACCAAAUAUGAUGUCUCCCAUGACCGAUUUAAUUUGAACUAGAAAUAUAAUUGUCAAGUGCAAUGAGACAGAGAAAGGAAUGGAGGCAUAUGUAUUUGGAAGGAAGAAGUAAAACUAUCUUGGACUGCAUUGAGCAUGAUAGCCUAUACAGAAAGUCCACAAAUCAACUCAAAGUUCCUGGAAAACUGAGCAGGAGCAUCAAGGUCACACACAGUUAAUAAAUCCAGAGAGCAAAAAUGAGCUAUUGGCUUUUAUACUUAGGCUACACAGUUGCAUUUCACAAUUUAAAAUACCACUUACAAUUGCAACAAGAACAAAAAGUCUUAUCUAUAAAUGUAACAAAUUUUGUACAAAAUCCAUAUGCAGAACAUUUUGGCUCUAGUGAAAGAAAUAAAAUAAGUACUGUGUGCUAGAUGAUAAAGUUGAACCAAUAGACGCAUGGACUACCAUUAGUAGUGCUGUCAUUCUUCCACAAACUACUUGAUCAGGCUCCUCUGCUCCCCAUUAAUCAAUAAGACUUCAGCUUUCAUCUAUGAAAGUUGCUGUAGAAUUUCAGCUCAAAUUAUUUCAUCCAUUCCUCUCUGUACUCCUACACACCAACCAGCAGUGUUUCUAAAAGCUCAAGGUAGUGUCAGAGGAAUAAUGAUUCCAGUCCUUUUAAGGUCUUGUCUAGGAGAGAUCAGAGCUGUCCAAAAGAUUCAUUGUUUGGUCUGCCCAACACUUGUAGAUAGGGUUCCUGUCUAUGAGAUUGUGGUUGUAUGAGAGUUUAGCUUUUGUUAGUACAAGUUGACACAACUAUGUGACCUAAUUAUAUUGAAUACUUCUUGCCUUUCACAGAUUCCUAUUUCCUUGACUCUUCUUAGAGUCUUACUCUUCCCUAAUUUUCUAUUUAAAAUGCCCAGUCACCUUGGCAUUACUGUUUUAACUCCCAUCUGGCUUCAUCGUUGGCAUAUGUACAGAGGAUCUGAAUUAGCAAAUGUGCAAACAUGUUUUUUUUAAACCUUGAAUAUUCAUUUAAUAAAGCCCUCUUUGCAUAUGCGAUUAACUUAAAAGAAGAGGACAUGAGGUUGGGAAGGAGUAUAAUGAGAGGUAUGUAGUGAGGAGAUAAUAGGGAAGAUUAAAGAUGUAAAAUGAUCAAAGUGUAUGGCAUAGAUGUAGGAAAUUCUCAAUGAAUAAAGUUUAUUUGUUUUGUUUA